UUUUUUUUUUGGGGGGGGGGAUUUCAAGGGACACAUUAUAAAACACAGCAAUAUUGAUGAUGACAGAGAGGAAUAAAAAACAGGAAAAAACAGGAACAGUGCAACAGCAAAAUCACCAACAGCAACAACAGUAACAUCAAGUAGUAGUAGUUGUAGUAGUGGUGGUAGUGGUAGUAGUGGUGGUAAUAAUAGUAGUAGUGGUAGUAGUAGUAGUAGUAGUAGUAGUGGUGGUAAUAGUAGUGGUAGUAGUAGUAGUAGUAGUAGUGGUAGUAGUAGUAGUAGUAGUAGCAGUAGUAGUAGCAAUGGUGGUAAUGCAAAUAAUAACAAUAAUGAUCGUAAUUUCUCAAAAAAACAAUAUCAACAUCUAAACAACAACCAUCGCAGCAAUUACGUGGUUCUCCGAUUCCGACGUUUCUGUUGAGAAUACAAAGACUGCAAUCAUUCGUCUCUUUCCCCUCAUUCCACUUCUUUUUCCCUUCAACCUUUCAUCUUUCUUCCUUCAUUCCUCCCUUCCCCAUUUACCACUCACUCUGUUUCCUUCACCUCUUUCGUAUCCUGUUCCUCCCAUCCCUUACGUUUUCCUAGUUAUUCUUCUUCCUUUUCUUCCAAGCCUUUAUCUCGUUCCCCUCAUCUCUCUUAUCUCUCUUCUCCCUUCACCCCAUUCUCUUCAGGUGCGAGGGAUCAAGACUCACCUCCUUCUUAUCCUGUUCCUCCCAUCCCUUUUCCUAGUUACUCCUCUUCCUUUUCUUCCAAGCCUUUAUCUCGUUCCCCUCAUCUCUCCCUUCACCCUUCACUCCUUUCUCCUCAGUUGCAAGGGAUCAAGACUCGCGUGUGAUGGGAGGAGGCUUAUGGCCACAUUCAUAAACGUAACAGCGCUCAAUCACACACAUUUGGCAAGGCUUUCGUAAGAGUUAUGGGCAUAUCCGUGGGUAGUUUUAAGGCUUUUCUAAACGUUGUGGACAUUCCCGUGGAUAGUUAUAAGGCUUUCGUAAGAGUUGUGGGCAUAUCCAUAGGCAUAUAUUAGGCUUUCGUAAGAGUUGUAGACAUUUCCGGGUGUAGGGCUUUCGUAAAGGUCGUGUGCAUUUCCAUUAGUAGUUUUAAGGUUUUCGUAAGGGGCGUGGGCAUUUCCGUUAGUAGUUUUAAGGUUUUCGUAAGGGGCGUGGGCAUUUCCGUUAGUAGUUUUAAGGUUUUCGUAAGGGGCGUGGGCAUUUCCGUUAGUAGUUUUAAGGUUUUCGUAAGGAUCGUGGGCAUUUCCGUUAGUAGUUUUAAGGUUUUCGUAAGGGUCGUGGGCAUUUCCGUUAGUAGUUUUAAGGUUUUCGUAAGGGUCGUGGGCAUUUCCGUUAGUAGUUUUAAGGUUUUCGUAAGGGUCGUGGGCAUUUCCGUUAGUAGCUUUAAGGUUUUCGUAAGGGUCGUGGGCAUUUCCGUUAGUAGCUUUAAGGUUUUCGUAAGGGUCGUGGGCAUUUCCGUUGGUAGUUUAAAGACUUUCGUAAGGGUCGUGGGUAUUUCCGUUAGUAGUUUUAAGGUUUUCGUAAGGGGCGUGGGCAUUUCCAUGGGUAGCCUUAAGGCUUUCGUAAGGGUCGUGGGCAUUUCCGUGGGUAGUUUUAAGUUUUCGUAAGGGGUGUGGGCAUUUCCAAGGGUAGUUUUAUGACCCUAGUGGCAGUCUGACAAAGCUUCUAUACCAUGAACGCUAACAGUAACAGUCAUGAGAUCCCGAUUCAGAUUUUCGGACUUUGGUAAUACUUGACGAGCGACGGAAGCCUUGAAAAACGCCACAUUAUGGUCACUAAAGACUGAUACGACGUUCAAAAAGUCGGGCGUGAUACGGUUUACAGUUGCGAAUAUUAGCGAUGCUGGGAGUGGUGACGCUGGUGGAGAUGAGGUGUGGGUGAUGGAGGCAUGGUGUGGGCGGAGGAAGCGGCUCAUCACACCCACUAAUGACACGUAACAACCUCGAUUGGCUUUUCCUCAUGGCGAUACUCUGUCGAAAUUUCCUAUCAAAUAAAUCCCGCCCGCUCCACUCUUGCAGUCAUGAAGUAGCGUUGACCUCUGCCACAAUUAUCCACUCGCGUGCAGAAUGAAUCAGAUAGGGCGUGGUUUGCUUGUAGAUUGGUGUCUUUGUGUGUGUGUGUGUGUGUGUGUGUGUGUGCGUGUGUGUGUGUGUAACUGUCUCCUUGCCUGGCUGACUGACCUGACCUAAUCUAACCUAACCUAACCUCACUGACUGACUGACUGAAUUUUGACUAUCUACCUAAACUAACUAUUGGAGGAUUUGACGCACUGCCUAACUAACCGACUGACUGACUGACUGACUGGCUGACAAACAAACAUGCAACUGACUAACUAAAAGACUAACUGACAGACCGAAUAACGAGCAGACCAACUGACGGACUGACUGACUGAUUGACUGACUGACUGACUGAGUGACUGACUGACGAACUGCCUCCUCCACUCAAGGCCGAACCUCCUCAAUUAUGCAGACGAGCUAACCAGGUGACACGAGGCUCCUGAUUACCUGCCGGAGAAGCUGAUUAGGUGAGGCAUGACAGGUGAAGGAGUGGUGGAGGUGGUGGAGG